CGUAGGUGGCAAGCGUUGUCCGGAUUUAUUGGGUUUAAAGGGUGCGUAGGCGGCUUUAUAAGUCAGUGCUGAAAUAUCCCGGCUUAACCGGGAGGGUGGCAUUGAUACUGCAGAGCUUGAGUGAAGUCGAGGUAGGUGGAAUUGACGGUGUAGCGGUGAAAUGCUUAGAUAUCGUCAAGAACACCGAUAGUGAAGACAGCUUACUAGACUUCAACUGACGCUGAGGCACGAAAGUGUGGGGAUCAAACAGGAUUAGAUACCCUGGUAGUCCACACUGUAAACGUUGAUUACUCGAUGUGUGCGAUAUACAGUACGCGUCUUAGCGCAAGCGAUAAGUAAUCCACCUGGGGAGUACGCCGGCAACGGUG
rnacentral:rRNA from 1 species